rnacentral:rRNA from 1 species
AGGACGAACGCUGGCGGCGUGCUUAACACAUGCAAGUCGAACGGAGAUUCAGCAAUGGAUCUUAGUGGCGAACGGGUGAGUAACGCGUAGGCAAUCUGCCUUCUAGAUGGGGACAACAUCCCGAAAGGGGUGCUAAUACCGAAUGUUGUACCGUUUCCGCAUGGAGAUGAUACUAAAGGUGGCCUCUGAAUAUGCUACCGCUAGAAGAUGAGCCUGCGUCUGAUUAGCUAGUUGGAGGGGUAACGGCCCACCAAGGCUUCGAUCAGUAGCCGGUCUGAGAGGAUGAACGGCCACACUGGGACUGAGACACGGCCCAGACUCCUACGGGAGGCAGCAGUGGGGAAUCUUCCGCAAUGGACGAAAGUCUGACGGAGCAACGCCGCGUGAGUGAAGAAGGUUUUCGGAUCGUAAAGCUCUUUCGUUAGGGACGAACGUGCUCUUUGUGAAUAAUGAGGAGUAAUGACGGUACCUAAAUAAGAAGCCACGGCUAACUACGUGCCAGCCGCCGC